rnacentral:snoRNA from 1 species
AAGACUAUACUUUCAGGGAUCAUUUCUAUAGUUCAUGACUUGAGAAAUGUGUUUCUAAAGUGUCUGGUCUCACUACCCACGAUGAUGACUCAUGAUACUCCAUUCUGAGCGUGAAGCAGGCAGAGAGAAAUGAUUGAGGAUUGUUCUUGGUUCUUUUAAGAACUUUGAGGAAAGGAAUAUGAUCAGAGUGGU